AACGGCCAUACCAUGCUGAAUAUACCGGUUCUCGUUAGAUCACCGAAGUCAAGCAUCAUUGGGCGCGGUCAGUACUUGGGUGGGUGACCACCUGGGAACACCGCGGGCCGU
rnacentral:rRNA from 1 species